GACGAACGCUGGCGGCGUGCUUAACACAUGCAAGUCGAACGGAAAGGCCCUGCUUUUGUGGGUUGCUCGAGUGGCGAACGGGUGAGUAACACGUGAGUAACCUGCCCUUGACUUUGGGAUAACUUCAGGAAACGGGGGCUAAUACCGGAUAGGAGCUCCUGCUGCAUGGUGGGGGUUGGAAAGUUUCGGCGGUUGGGGAUGGACUCGCGGCUUAUCGGCUUGUUGGUGGGGUAGUGGCUUACCAAGGCUUUGACGGGUAGCCGGCCUGAGAGGGUUACCGGCCACAUUGGGCCUGAGAUACGGACCAGAAUCCUACGGGCGGCAGCAGUGGGGAAUAUUGCACAAUGGGCGGAAGCCUGAUGCAGCAACGCCGCGUGCGGGAUGACGGCCUUCGGGUUGUAAACCGCUUUCGCCUGUAACGAAGCGUGAGUGACGGUAAUGGGUAAAGAAGCACCGGCUAACUACGUG
rnacentral:rRNA from 1 species